rnacentral:rRNA from 1 species
GAUGAACGCUGGCGGCGUGCCUAAUACAUGCCAGUCGAGCGAACAGAUGAGGAGCUUGCUCCUCUGACGUUAGCGGCGGACGGGUGAGUAACACGUGGAUAACCUACCUAUAAGACUGGGAUAACUUCGGGAAACCGGAGCUAAUACCGGAUAAUAUAUUGAACCGCAUGGUUCAAUAGUGAAAGACGGUUUCGCUGUCACUUAUAGAUGGAUCCGCGCCGCAUUAGCUAGUUGGUAAGGUAACGGCUUACCAAGGCAACGAUGCGUAGCCGACCUGAGAGGGUGAUCGGCCACACUGGAACUGAGACACGGUCCAGACUCCUACGGGAGGCAGCAGUAGGGAAUCUUCCGCAAUGGGCGAAAGCCUGACGGAGCAACGCCGCGUGAGUGAUGAAGGUCUUCGGAUCGUAAAACUCUGUUAUUAGGGAAGAACAAAUGUGUAAGUAACUAUGCACGUCUUGACGGUACCUAAUCAGAAAGCCACGGCUAACUACGUG